AGUUUUUUCCGCUUUUUUGCGCUAAUUUACGUAUAUUUUAAUGUUUGUGUGUUUUGAUUGAAUUAGAUCUUCUAUACAAAGAUUACCAGACAGACCACAAGUUCACAAUCACUACCUACUCUCCUACCGGAGUUGCUAUUACUUCAUCUGGAUCAAAGAAAGGGGAUUUCUUUGUAGCAGAUGUCAACACACAGUUGAAGAACAAGAAUAUCACCACUGAUAUUAAAGUGGACACGAAUUCUAAUCUUUUUACAACUAUCACAGUUAAUGAACCUGUUCCUGGUUUGAAGACCAUUUUAAACUUCAGAGUUCCUGAUCAAAGAUCGG